UCCACGAUCAGGGGCCCCAGGCAUGUGGAAUGUGGAUCAAAAGCAGAUGUAGAAUCCCUGCAAUGACUAUGUUUUAUUUUCAACUGAAAAUGCCAAGCAAUUUCCGUUGCAAAAGCAUCCCAUCCAGUUUGUCAAAGAAGCGCUGCACCAAAAAAUCCUCAUAACUCUUGUCACUUCCGUUUGAGUCAAAGCAGUUCCUUGCUGCUUCUAGCUACAGCUAAUACCUUCCACUGCAAAAGAGUAUUCUUAUCUGAAGACUGUACCCAAGGAACAAGAAGAAUGGCUGAUGUACUUAUAGCUUCCACAAUAGAGGUAGCAUUGAAGAAGACACUUUCCCUUGCCAAUGAAAGGAUUGGCAAGUUAUUCCAAUUCAAGGAGGAUUUGGAGACCCUCAAAGGAUCUGUUGCUAUGAUCCAAGCUGUCUUGGCUGAUGCAGAGGAAAAGCAAACGCAUGACCAGGCCGUGCGACUGUGGCUCCAGAGGCUAGAAGCCGUGGCGUUUGAUGCCGAGAAUUUGUUGGACGAGCUGAAUUAUGAAGCUCUUCGUCGCCAUCUCGUGGGCAAGGUGCGCUCCUUCAUCCUGUCCUCUGACAUUAAUAUUGUUUUCCGACGGAGAAUGGCCUCUAAGAUCAGGGACAUCAACAAAAAGUUGAAUAAGAUCAAUAAAGAAGCCAAUGAUUUUGGACUGAUCAGAUUCCAAAGAGCAAGUUUCCCCCCUUCUACUACUGCUAAAGUCACACUAAAUAGAGAGACGGAUUCUAUUGCUGGCCAUUAUAUUGUAGGAAGAGCUAAGGAUGAAACAAGGCUGGUGGAGACCUUGCUAAGCUUGUCAGAAAAAGCCGUUUCUGUAAUUCCCAUCCUUGGGAUGGGCGGAUUGGGAAAGACUACUUUAGCUCAAUCUGUAUACAAAAAUAGUCACGUUCAUAGCCAUUUUGAGAAAAAAAUUUGGGUUUGUGUGUCCGACAACUUUGACGUGACCAGGCUUUUGAAAAUGAUUUUAGAAUCACUCACGAGAAGAAAUGUUGAAAUGACCAGUAGGGAUGUCAUCGUCCAGGAAAUUCGAGAACAACUUGUGGGAAAAUUUUUUUUUCUUGUUCUUGAUGAUGUCUGGACCGAAAAUCUUACCUUGUGGGAUGAUUUUUUUGGUUCAUUACUGGGACUAAAUGCAACUAAUGGAAAUUGGUGUGUUGUGACUACUCGUAAACAACAAACUGCAUCCAUUGUGGCCACACAUGAUCCUUAUGUGCUAGGAAAGCUAUCUGAUGAUGAUUGUUGGUCUAUCCUAACAAAGAAAGCCAUUGCAGGUGGAGAAAUUCCCAAACAAUUGCAUGUCAUGAAAAAGGAAAUUGUAAAAAAAUGUGGUGGUCUACCACUGGCUGCAAGUGUAAUGGGAGGUUUAUUGCGCAUGAAGAGAAAAGAGGAGUGGCAAUUGGUUUUGAAGAAUAAGCUUUCAAAUUUCAGUGGAGAUGAAGAUGGUGUCAUGGAAAUACUUAAAUUGAGUUUUGAUUGUUUACCAUCUCCAUCCAUUAAGAAAUGUUUUGCAUAUUGUUCUAUAUUUCCUAAGGAUACUAUGAUGAAAGGAGAUAUGCUAAUCGAACUUUGGAUGGCAGAAGGUUUGCUCCAAGCAGAUGUCAACAACCAAAUAAUGAUGGAGGAAAUUGGAAUGAAUUGUUUGAGAAUUUUAUUACAGAGUUCGUUGUUUGAAGAAACCAAAAGUUAUCAGGAAACACAUUAUUAUAAGAUGCAUGAUCUAGUGCACGACCUCGCAGAGUCAAUGUCAAAGUCUACUAAAGUUAUUAACAAUAUUCGUUACCUUGCAGUAGAUUUAUCUGGUGGCAGAGAAGACAGAGAAAAACUUUUGGAGAGGCUAUCAACUUCGCUUCGUACAUUGUUUGUAAAGGGUGACCUAUCUGGUGAUAUGUUAAUGAAGUUGAAGAACUUGUAUGUUUUGAAUUUGUCUCAUGCAACGACUCAAGAGCUACCGAUCACUAUUGGCAAAUUGACACAUUUGCGAUAUGUUAACCUUUCGAGUUCUAGAAUUCGUAUUUUGCCGGACUCCCUUUGCAAGCUUUAUAAUUUGCAGACAUUGGCACUAGAUAGCAUGUAUGUCAAAGAUCUUCCGAAGGGGAUGUGCAAUUUGAUUAGCUUGAGACAUCUCUACUUUUACACCUUUGAUGAAAAAUUUCAAAUGCCACUAGAGAUGGGACGACUAUCUUGCCUUCAGACACUAGAGUUCUUUAAUGUGGGUCGAGAAAAGGGUCGACAAAUUGAAGAGCUUGGAUGCUUGAAAAACCUCAAAGGCAGUUUAAGUGUACGCAAUCUUCAACUAAUAAAGGAUAGGAAAGCAGCUGAGGAAGCAAAUCUAUUUGGAAAGGCAAAUCUAUUUAGGCUGGUACUUGUGUGGGCCUUGGCUUGGGAUCGAGAAGGUGACAACUACAACUACGACAAAGAUGUGUUAGAUGGCCUUAGGCCUCAUCCAAAUUUGGAGGAGUUGGUAAUUCAGCGUUUUAUGGGUGAUCAAUUUCCUCGAUGGUCAAUGGAUUUGCCAAUAACACUUCCCAAGUUAGUGCGUUUGGAGUUUUAUUAUUGCCACAGAUGCAGAGAACUCAUUCCUUUGCAAAACUUUACGUCUCUUAAAGAGCUGGUGAUUUGGUUUUGCCGUGGAUUAACGAAUCUACCCAGUGACAUGCUACAGUCUUGUAUCUCUCUCCAAAAGCUUCAGGUGGCUUAUUGCGACAAGCUUAUCUCGUUUCCGCUUGAUUUGCAACAAACGCCUUCUCUUUUGGAGUUAGAAUUAUACGCGUGUCCCAAACUGAAAACAAGUAUGACGCCCAAAGGAUUUGGUUUCCUAACCAGCUUAAAUCGUCUUGAAAUUGGUCCCUUCUCAGAUGAUGAUGACCAUGAAAAUUCUUCAAUUUACAAUGAAUUUGAUUGGUGUGGAUUGAUAUCCUUCUCCUCUUUGUCAUCCAUACUAUGUGACCUAGAAUUAUUUGGUUUGCUACACAUGGAGUCCCUACCACAUCAAAUCCAAUACUUGACCACUCUCACAUCACUUCGGCUACAUGACUUUGGAGGUAUAAAAGCUCUGCCAGAUUGGUUCAGAAACUUUGCUGCUCUUGAAUACCUAUGUUUAUUUGGUUUCAAAGAGCUUCGACAUUUACCCUCUGAGGAUGCCAUGAGAAGUCUCACCAAACUAAAAGUUCUACUGGUUUAUGGUUCUCCUCUGUUAAAAGAAAGGUGCACUCCUGAGAGCAGCGGCCUCGACUCCCAGUGGUCCAAAAUUUCUCAUAUUCAACUCCUAUUAAUAAGCGAUUAACAGUUCAUCUUCAGAUCAAAUUCAAUCAUUGAUCUUAGGCUCAAGGUUUAAGUGGAAAUCUCCAUUGGCCAUUAAUUACUCAUUGAAUUGCAAGGCCAGUAGCUUGGACAAAAAUAUUUAUGAUGGCAAUUUUUCUUUCGUAUCGGUGCCUUAUAUAGCCAACACUUGAUAUCCUUGUUGUCGGAGCUUGCACAUUGUCUAUCUGCCUUUUCAGUCACGAGGUCCAGGAAAAGUUUUCUGUCUGUGUUUUGAUUGCUCAAUGACUGUCAGCUGGCCUGUACAAUCUACUGGGAAAAAAUUUCUUGCCCCAGCUUAUCAGAUGUUUUUGAAGAGCCAUCAUUACCAGGACUUUUUGAUGAUCUUUAUUGGCAGUUUGAUGACCAUUACUAGAGAAAUAGAUUGACCAUUAAGAGGUUUUGCAAACUUUCGAGUGUUAUCGCAAGCCAUGAAGACAAUGGUCAAUCAAGGGGUUUUCGCAUCAUCGCUUUGGUGUUUUGGUUCAAAUUUCUGAUAUUGCUGAGGUAGCCGAGGAAGAUGUUCAUGCAAUGAAGUUGCACAAAACUUGGUACUUGGUGGAGUAUCUUCCAACAUGGUCAAGUUUAAGCAGGAUGUUUUGAAGCAUUUCAAAAGUUAGUCAAGUCUACUUGUUGCAACUUGCUGCUCUUAGUGAAUCCACCUAGAUAAAGGCUCUUAAGCUCUCCCUGCCUUUUGUGACUGUGAGUUGCUAUUUUUUUAUGUGAUAUUAGGACCAAAACUGAAGGGGGAACCCCGCUGAUGGCUCUUACAUACUGUGCUUACUUUUUGAAAGUCCUACGAUUCCUUGCUGAACAAGAUCCUACUUCAGUUGGAUAGUAACAUCUAGCAUGCAUUCUCUUUUGCACUGUGCCUCAGAUGGCCAAAGGCUGAGAUUCCCCCUGUGGUUAUGGUGCCUUUAAACUGUCCAAAUGAUUCAGCAAUUUGUAGUCACAAUAAUGAGGUGCCGAUUUUCUUGUAACUCAAUUAGCUAUCUCUGGCAUACUGAAGUUAGAACUAGCUGGUGUUUUGGUUGCAGUUAUAUGUGGAUUCUGUUGUGACUUAAUGGCCUUUCAUUUCCUGAGUUCCACCACAUAAAUUGCUUUGCAUGUGCCAUGAAUUGCCCAUCAUUAUUUUCAAGUUUACGAGUUGU